GGUGAACGCUGGCGGUGGGCCUAACACAUGCAAGUCGAACGGCAGGACAUGAAGAGCUUUCUCUUACGGGUGGCGACGGGCGGACGAGUGAGGAGUACAUCGGAAUCUACUUUUUCUUGGGUUAUAACGUAGGGAAGCUUACGCUAAUACAUCAUACGUCGUACGGGAGGGAGCAGGCGGUCUUCGGACCUUGCGCGGUUGUAUUAGCCGAUGUCGGAUUAGCUAGUUGGCGGGGUAACGGCACACCAAGGCGACGAUCCGUGGCUGGUCUGAGAGGAUGAUCGGCCACACUGGAACUGAGACACGGUCCAGACUCCUACGGGAGGCAGCAGUGGGGAAUAUUGGACAAUGGGCGCAAGCCUGAUCCAGCCACACCGCGUGGGUGAAGAAGGUCUUCGGGUUGUAAAGCUCUUUUGUUGGGAAAGAAAAGCAGCAGGUUUAUACCCCGCUGUUCUGACGGUACCCAAAGAAUAAGCACCGGCUAACUUCGUG
rnacentral:rRNA from 1 species